GACGAACGCUGGCGGCGUGCUUAACACAUGCAAGUCGAACGGAAAGGCCCUGCUUUUGUGGGGUGCUCGAGUGGCGAACGGGUGAGUAACACGUGCGUAACCUGCCCUUGACUUUGGGAUAACUUCAGGAAACUGGGGCUAAUACCGGAUAGGAGCUCCUGCUGCAUGGUGGGGGUUGGAAAGUUUCGGCGGUUGGGGAUGGACUCGCGGCUUAUCAGCUUGUUGGUGGGGUAGCGGCUUACCAAGGCUUUGACGGGUAGCCGGCCUGAGAGGGUGACCGGACACAUUGGGACUGAGAUACGGCCCAGACUCCUACGGGAGGCAGCAGUGGGGAAUAUUGCACAAUGGGCGGAAGCCUGAUGCAGCAACGCCGCGUGCGGGAUGACGGCCUUCGGGUUGUAAACCGCUUUCGCCUGUGACGAAGCGUGAGUGACGGUAAUGGGUAAAGAAGCACCGGCUAACUACGUG
rnacentral:rRNA from 1 species